AACGUAAAUUAAUCUCUGUUUGUUUAGAAAUUGGAAUAGAUAACAUAAUUGAGUUCCUAGUGGCCGAAAUCAGGGCCAAAGUUGACUAUCAGCUAAGAAAACAAAAAUGUAGAGGACCCUACAGAAGAUAUAUUUUAGGACUCCUAAAUGUUUAUUGCCACUUAUCAGCUGUAUGCUCUUAUGAAUCUAACGAAGAAGGACAACUUGAAUGUAUUUUUUGGCCCACUUGCUUCUUGCUUCCUGGUCCACAAGAUCUAUCUCACAAUGUCAACAAAUUUUUUGUAUUUUAAUAAAUUUUAGAAAAAUGAAUCAACCCACUAAAAUCAUAAUUAUUGAUCAAGGCUCUCCUAUUCCUAACCAUCUAUUAUCCAUGAUCACAGAAUUAUUAAAAAGUCUUGUAGUCGCUACAGAAACUUUAGCCACCAAUGAUUGUUCAGUGGCUAAUCUAGUAGAGAUGAAUGGUGUGAUGAGUGAUAAAUGUUUAGCAGCUUUAGCUAAUCUGCUAACCACGCUAAAUAUUGAAACUACUCUCAAGAAAAGAAUUAAUGAACUUAUUGAUGUUCAUUGUGAAUUCUCAGCUUUUAAUUCCUAUCAUUUAAUUGCCAAUCAAAUUUAUUAUCGUAAAUUUUGGCCUGUCUGUAUUUUGUUAUGUAAUGAUUAAGUUUUUCAGAAAAAUGGCCUUCUAUACAUUUCGACCCGCUUCUGUUCUGAUACCGUAUGUAAAUAAUCCAAUCGCCAUCUUUCCAUUCUAUCUACUCAUACAGGAAUGUCAGGACAACUUUCAAUUAAAAACUUUUCUCCAACAACAUCUUUCUUCUGACAACUUAACCAUUUUUCUUCUUAAAUAACUAAAAAUUCAGGUAAUGACCUUCCUACAUCAAAAAAUUCUUUUAUAAUUUCUCUGUUUUAGAUCCAUGCCUCUGUAGAUUUACAAGUCAAUGCUAUGAUAGGUUUACCAAACAUUCCAUAUCGAAGAAAUUUUAGUUCUUUUCUCUCCAAUCCCGACUUUGACUUUCAAUUCCAAUUUCUAAUAUUUUUAAAUCCCUACUCAAAUCAACAGCUUUAUGUAACACAAGCUCUUCAACAACAUGGCGAAAUCGAAAAAAUUUAUUUUGCCCAGAAUGGAAUCUCCUGUCAUGUCAUCUUUAAACCCAAUCCUAAAAUACAACUUUUGAAACAACUCGCCUGUGUCUACAUCAACGAAGAAUAUUUAGUACUAUUUCCUAUGCAUUUCAAUGAUAAUGUACCUAAUAUUACAAUGCAUUGCUACAAAAAGUCAACUUUUUCAGAAAAUAUGGCGGUCUUCAUGUCAUCCUCUUCUUCAUCUAUUUCAUCUUUAGAGUCAUCAAUGCCAAAAAUGGAAGCUGGAAUGUGUAUCCAACAUAUUGACUUUCAACACUUAGAAGACACUCAAAAAAAAUUAUCUAUUCAUAUGCAGCAAAUUCAAAAAUAUAUUGAUUUAAUUGAAGAAAUUUUACAAAUACAA